CCUACGGGAGGCAGCAGUGGGGGAUAUUGCACAAUGGGGGAAACCCUGAUGCAGCGACGCCGCGUGAGUGAAGACGUAAUUCGUUAUGGAAAGCUCUAUCAGCAGGGAAGAAAAUGACGGUAACUGGGUGAGGAGCCCCGGGUAAAUACGGUCCAACAACCGCGGGAAUACGUAGGGGACAAGCGUUAGCCGGAUUUACUGGGUUGAAAGGGGGCGUAGACGGAAGUGCAAGUCUGGCGUGAAAGGCGGGGGCUCAACCCCCGGACCGCUCUGGAAACUGUACGUCUGGAGUGCAGGAGAGGUAAGUGGAAUUCCUAGUGUAGCGGUGAAAUGCGUAGAUAUUAGGAGGAACACCAGUGGCGAAGGCGGCUUACUGGACUGUAACUGACGUUGAGGCUCGAAAGCGUGGGGAGCAAACAGGAUUAGAUACCCUAGUAGUC
rnacentral:rRNA from 1 species